rnacentral:rRNA from 1 species
GAUGAACGCUGGCGGCGUGCUUAACACAUGCAAGUCGAACGGUGAAAGCGGAGCUUGCUCCGCUGGAUCAGUGGCGAACGGGUGAGUAACACGUGAGCAAUCUGCCCCUGACUCUGGGAUAAGCGCUGGAAACGGCGUCUAAUACCGGAUACGAGCUGCGAAGGCAUCUUCAGCAGCUGGAAAGAACUUCGGUCGGGGAUGAGCUCGCGGCCUAUCAGCUAGUUGGAGAGGUAACGGCUCACCAAGGCGUCGACGGGUAGCCGGCCUGAGAGGGUGGCCGGCCACACUGGGACUGAGACACGGCCCAGACUCCUACGGGAGGCAGCAGUGGGGAAUAUUGCACAAUGGGCGAAAGCCUGAUGCAGCAACGCCGCGUGAGGGACGACGGCCUUCGGGUUGUAAACCUCUUUUAGCAGGGAAGAAGCGAAAGUGACGGUACCUGCAGAAAAAGCGCCGGCUAACUACGUGCCAGCCGCCGCCGUAA